rnacentral:rRNA from 2 species
GACGAACGCUGGCGGCGUGCUUAACACAUGCAAGUCGAACGAAAAGAGGGAAAGAGCUUGCUCUUUCCGGAAUUGAGUGGCAAACGGGUGAGUAACACGUAAACAACCUGCCUUCAGGAUGGGGACAACAGACGGAAACGACUGCUAAUACCGAAUAAGUUCCAAGAGCCGCAUGGCCCAUGGAAGAAAAGGUGGCCUCUACCUGUAAGCUAUCGCCUGAAGAGGGGUUUGCGUCUGAUUAGCUGGUUGGAGGGGUAACGGCCCACCAAGGCGACGAUCAGUAGCCGGUCUGAGAGGAUGAACGGCCACACUGGAACUGAGACACGGUCCAGACUCCUACGGGAGGCAGCAGUGGGGAAUCUUCCGCAAUGGGCGAAAGCCUGACGGAGCAACGCCGCGUGAGUGAUGACGGCCUUCGGGUUGUAAAACUCUGUGAUCCGGGACGAAAAGGCAGAGUGCGAAGAACAAACUGCAUUGACGGUACCGGAAAAGCAAGCCACGGCUA